rnacentral:rRNA from 1 species
AUUGAGAGUAUACCUGCCACUGAUUAGUAAUUAAAGGGCCGCGGUAAUUUGACCGUGCAAAGGUAGCAUAAUCAUUAGUCUCUUAAUUAGAGGCUGGAAUGAAUGGUUGGACGAGAUAUAAUCUGUCUUUUAUUUUAUUAUUGAAUUUAAUUAUUAAGUAAGAAAGCUUAAAUUUGAUUAUGGGACGAGAAGACCCUAUAGAGUUUAAACAAUUAAUGUUGCUUAAUUUGUUUAUGAUUAUUUUUUUGUAAUUUAAUUUUUUUUGUUGGGGUGAUGGGUAGAUAAACAAAACUCUUUUUAUUGAUUAAUAUUUAUUUAUAGAAUUUUGAUCCAUUAUUAGUGAUUAUAAGACUAAAUUACC